rnacentral:rRNA from 1 species
AUGCCUACGGGGGGCAGCAGUGGGGAAUAUUGCACAAUGGGGGAAACCCUGAUGCAGCAACGCCGCGUGAGUGAAGAAGUAUUUCGGUAUGUAAAGCUCUAUCAGUAGGGAAGAAGAAAGACGGUACCUGACUAAGAAGCCCCGGCUAACUACGUGCCAGCAGCCGCGGUAAUACGUAGGGGGCAAGCGUUAUCCGGAUUUACUGGGUGUAAAGGGAGCGUAGACGGCAUAGCAAGUCUGAAGUGAAAUGCCGGGGCCCAACCCCGGCACUGCUUUGGAAACUGUACAGCUAGAGUGCAGGAGGG